GCAAAUUAGGCUGCCUCUCUUGCC
rnacentral:siRNA from 1 species